rnacentral:lncRNA from 1 species
CUAAUUUUCUAACUAAGGUGAGAAAUAUCAACCUCGUCAGGAAUCUUGAAGGUAUCUGCAGCACCAAACUUUCUAAAUUCCUCGCCUUCAGUGACUGAGUCGUCUUCAUUAUCAUCAUACUCUUCUGCCGAAUCCUGAUGACGGGGCGUUGAAGGGUCGUACAUGCUUCUGGACCGGCAGUCAUGAGUUGCAAGCAUGUUCACUUGGCCAAGGUGUGAAAGCUCUACCAUCACAGUUUCAUCAUCCAUUGGCAGUGGCUGUUUCCACGGCUCCCCAUCCAUCCUCAUAAAUGUAUGGUCUGCUGCUCCUUUCCGAAAUUCGAAGCGAAUGCGGUUUGCCUAGAGAGUCACAAAAGAGAAACCAACUCAACUCACUCGAUAAGUUAUAAAUUUGUACUGCACCCACCCGAGCAUCACAUCUUUUACCUGGGCAAGUCGUGUACCGUGUCCAUUUGGAGCGAGCAGGACAAGACCGUGCCAAGCAUUUCUGAACCCAACAACCUCAAUGUAGCCAUCAUCAACGAACGGUGGAGUCAAGUCUCUCUGUUGCGUCACAAGAGAAAAAAAAAGUCCACAUUAUUUUACCACCAUGGCAAAGAUAUAUAUGAAUGUCAAGACUUACAUCACGUUGUUUCCUGGGAUUUGGUGUGCCCCAAGGAUUUAGCCCUCCAGAAAAGCUGGGCAGAUUCAGACAUACAAUGGACCUGAUGCUGUAAGAGCAGAAACAAAAACGUCAGGAGUUGGAGUGUAUAUUCUUUUAUUCAAGGUUGAACAGCUUAUUGCAAGAAAGAAGGGCAUUGACAAUGAUUAUUAUAUCCAGUAAAAGAAAGAUGAAAAAUCCCAAGUGAUCCC